rnacentral:rRNA from 1 species
GACGAACGCUGGCGGCGUGCUUAACACAUGCAAGUCGAACGGAAAGGCCCUGCUUUUGUGGGGUUCUCGAGUGGCUAACGGGUGAUUAACACGUGAGUAACCUGCCCUUGACUUUGGGAUAACUUCAGGAAACUGGGGCUAAUACCGGAUAGGAGCUCCUGCUGCAUGGUGGGGGUUGGAAAGUUUCGGCGGUUGGGGAUGGACUCGCGGCUUAUCAGCUUGUUUGUGGGGUAGUGGCUUACCAAGGCUUUGACGGGUAGCCGGCCUGAGAGGGUGACCGGCCACAUUGGGACUGAGAUACGGCCCAGACUCCGAAGGGAGGCAGCAGUGGGGAAUAUUGAAAAAUGGGCGGAAGCCUGAUGCAGCAACGCCGCGUGCGGGAUGACGGCCUUCGGGUUGUAAACCGCUUUCGCAUGUGACGAAGCGUGAGUGACGGUAAUGGGUAAAGAAGCACCGGCUAACUACGUG